rnacentral:rRNA from 1 species
GACGAACGCUGGCGGCGUGCUUAACACAUGCAAGUCGAACGGUAAGGCCCUUCGGGGUACACGAGUGGCGAACGGGUGAGUAACACGUGGGUGAUCUGCCCUGCACUUCGGGAUAAGCCUGGGAAACUGGGUCUAAUACCGGAUAGGACCCUGGGAUGCAUGUCCUGGGGUGGAAAGCUUUUGCGGUGAGGGAUGGGCCCGCGGCCUAUCAGCUUGUUGGUGGGGUGAUGGCCUACCAAGGCGACGACGGGUAGCCGGCCUGAGAGGGUGACCGGCCACACUGGGACUGAGAUACGGCCCAGACUCCUACGGGAGGCAGCAGUGGGGAAUAUUGCACAAUGGGCGCAAGCCUGAUGCAGCGACGCCACGUGAGGGAUGACGGCCUUCGGGUUGUAAACCUCUUUCAGCACCGACGAAGCGCAAGUGACGGUAGGUGCAGAAGAAGGACCGGCCAACUACGUGCCAGCCGCCGCGGUAA